rnacentral:rRNA from 1 species
AUUGAACGCUGGCGGCAGGCCUAACACAUGCAAGUCGAACGGUAACAGGAAACAGCUUGCUGUUUCGCUGACGAGUGGCGGACGGGUGAGUAAUGUCUGGGAAACUGCCUGAUGGAGGGGGAUAACUACUGGAAACGGUAGCUCAUACCGCAUAACGUCGCAGGACCAAAGAGGGGGACCCUCGGGCCUCUUGCCAUCGGAUGUGCCCAGAUGGGAUUAGCUUGUUGGUGGGGUAACGGCUCACCAAGGCGACGAUCCCUACCUGGUCUGAGAGGAUGACCAGCCACACUGGAACUGAGACACGGUCCAGACUCCUACGGGAGGCAGCAGUGGGGAAUAUUGCACAAUGGGCGCAAGCCUGAUGCAGCCAUGCCGCGUGUAUGAAGAAGGCCUUCGGGUUGUAAAGUACUUUCAGCGGGGAGGAAGGGAGUAAAGUUAAUACCUUUGCUCAUUGACGUUACCCGCAGAAGAAGCACCGGCUAACUCCGUG